ACCUAAAAUGACUCUCGGCAACGGAUAUCUCGGCUCUUGCAUCGAUGAAGAACGUAGCGAAAUGCGAUACUUGGUGUGAAUUGCAGAAUCCCGUGAACCAUCGAGUCUUUGAACGCAAGUUGCGCCCGAAGCCAUUAGGCUGAGGGCACGCCUGCCUGGGUGUCACACA
rnacentral:rRNA from 1 species